rnacentral:rRNA from 1 species
AGCAAACCUCAGAAAGCCAAUCUCAGUUCGGAUUGUAGGCUGCAACUCGCCUACAUGAAGUUGGAAUCGCUAGUAAUCGCGAAUCAGAAUGUCGCGGUGAAUACGUUCCCGGGUCUUGUACACACCGCCCGUCACACCACGAGAGUUUACAACACCCGAAGUCAGUGGCCUAACCGCAAGGAGGGAGCUGCCUAAGGUGGGGUAGAUGAUUGGGGUGAAGUCGUAACAAGGUAUC